rnacentral:lncRNA from 1 species
CGCAGAAGGGGCGGGACGGGAUUGCCGCCCAAACCCGGGGCCCGGGAGCGUCGCGAGGGGCUCGUGCCAGCUCUCACCGCCCCGCUCCCCCACCAGGAGGCCCCGGGCGACGCCCCCGCACCGCCUGGACCAGGAACUCUGCUUCUGGGGAGUGCGAGGGCCCCCUCCCCCCGAGCCGGCCGCCCGCCGCAGCCUGGGCGACUUCUGGCUGAGCCCCCAGCGCCGCUGGCCGCCGGGGGCCUCGUGGCGCUGGCCCAGCCGCCGCCUGCUGCUCUUGCCCCCGGCUACCGGGCUGGGCGACGUGCCCUCGGCGCGCUGGCCGGGCUGCUUCUCCGCGCGCCCCAACCUCGUGUGGAAGCACCGCUGGCAGAGUCUCAAUCACGAAUUUCUGGGCAGAAGGAUGAGACGCCUGAUGCCCCUGUACCUGUGACGCCCGAGGGCAGGAUUAAGAAGAUUGAAGCCUCCUAUCAAGAGUCUCCCCAUCUCUCCUUCUCCAUGUCUCCAGUUCUCUCUACAACUGCGUCUUCUCCUUUGCCCUUGCCACAGGACAAGGUGACUGUCCUUUGAUCCCACCCCCCUUUUUCUCCUCUGGGAGUCUGUCCUGUCAGCCAUUUCUCCCUUUCUCACAUUGUUCCCCCUCUAGAAUGGAAGCUCCUGAAGGGCAGGAACUGUUUCAAUUUUGUCUUUAUGUCUCCAGUGCCUGGCUCCGGGUGGGUAUUCAAUAAAGAUUUGUUGAUUGAUUGAAUUUUUUUAUUUAUUGACUCUUUCCUUAAUGCUUACAAACUGGUCUCCUUUCUCUUUAAAGAUCCUCCACCACCGUGUUUUUUCAAACAAUCAUCCUAUUUUGUAGAGCAUACAUUUUCAGCUAGAGGUCAUCCAAUCUAGUCCAUUCUCAGAGCUCUUGCCCAAAGGCCACACAAGUAUCAAGUGGCAGAAUUAGGUUCUGAACCCAGGUCCUCUGACUCAAUCUUUCUGCUGUCCCAAGCUUCUUUCCCUCCUCACUUUCACAGCUAAUC